UCCACCGAGGGGCGCUGCGACCGCGACAUAGAACGCGGCCAGGCUCGGUGGAAUCCACGCAUCAACGGCGCCCGGUUGCU
rnacentral:ncRNA from 2 species